rnacentral:piRNA from 1 species
UGGUAAUCCUCAAGGUGGUGGUACCUAGA